rnacentral:rRNA from 1 species
UACGGAGGAUCCGAGCGUUAUCCGGAUUUAUUGGGUUUAAAGGGUGCGCAGGCGGGAGAUUAAGUCGGCGGUGAAAUUUUGCAGCUCAACUGUAAAAGUGCCUUCGAAACUGGUUUCCUUGAGUGUGGAUGAAGUAGGCGGAAUUUGUGGUGUAGCGGUGAAAUGCAUAGAUAUCACGAGGAACUCCGAUUGCGCAGGCAGCUUACUAAACCAUAACUGACGCUCAGGCACGAAGGCGUGGGGAUCAAACAGGAUUAGAUACCCCUGUA